UUGCCCCGCAAGGGGUAACUGAGUGGCGAACGGGUGAGUAACACGUGGGUGACCUACCCUCGAGUGGGGGAUAACAUCCCGAAAGGGGUGCUAAUACCGCAUGACAUCCUGUCUUUGAACAGAUGGACAUUAAAGCUGGGGAUCGCAAGACCUGGCGCUCGAAGAGGGGCUCGCGCCCGAUUAGCUAGUUGGUGAGGUAAUGGCUCACCAAGGCUACGAUCGGUAUCCGGCCUGAGAGGGCGGACGGACACACUGGGACUGAGACACGGCCCAGACUCCUACGGGAGGCAGCAGUGGGGAAUUGUUCGCAAUGGGUGAAAGCCUGACGACGCAACGCCGCGUGGAGGAUGAAGAUCUUCGGG
rnacentral:rRNA from 1 species